rnacentral:rRNA from 1 species
GGCGAACGCUGGCGGCGCGCCUAACACAUGCAAGUCGAACGAGCGAGAGAGAGCUUGCUUUCUCGAGCGAGUGGCGAACGGGUGAGUAACGCGUGAGGAACCUGCCUCAAAGAGGGGGACAACAGUUGGAAACGACUGCUAAUACCGCAUAAGCCCACAGCUCGGCAUCGAGCAGAGGGAAAAGGAGCAAUCCGCUUUGAGAUGGCCUCGCGUCCGAUUAGCUAGUUGGUGAGGUAAUGGCACACCAAGGCGACGAUCGGUAGCCGGACUGAGAGGUUGAACGGCCACAUUGGGACUGAGACACGGCCCAGACUCCUACGGGAGGCAGCAGUGGGGAAUAUUGCACAAUGGGGGAAACCCUGAUGCAGCGACGCCGCGUGGAGGAAGAAGGUCUUCGGAUUGUAAACUCCUGUUGUUGGGGAAGAUAAUGACGGUACCCAACAAGGAAGUGACGGCUAACUACGUGCCAGCAGCCGCGGUAAAACGUAGGUCACAAGCGUUGUCCGGAAUUACUGGGUGUAAAGGGAGCGCAGGCGGGAAGACAAGUUGGAAGUGAAAUCUAUGGGCUCAACCCAUAAACUGCUUUCAAAACUGUUUUUCUUGAGUAGUGCAGAGGUAGGCGGAAUUCCCGGUGUAGCGGUGGAAUGCGUAGAUAUCGGGAGGAACACCAGUGGCGAAGGCGGCCUACUGGGCACCAACUGACGCUGAGGCUCGAAAGUGUGGGUAGCAAACAGGAUUAGAUACCCUGGUAGUCCACACCGUAAACGAUGAUUAAAAGGUGUUGGAGGAUUGACCCCCUCAGUGCCGCAGUUAACACAAUAAUUAAUCCACCCGGGGAGUACGACCGCAAGGUGGAAAUCCAAAGGAAUUGACGGGGGCCCGCCCAAGCAGUGGAGUAUGUGGUUUAAUUCGACGCAACGCGAAGAACCUUACCAAGUCUUGACAUCCCUCGACGAUGCUGGAAACAGUAUUUCUCUUCUGAGCAAGGAGACAGGUGGUGCAUGGUUGUCGUCAGCUCGUGUCGUGAGAUGUUGGGUUAAGUCCCGCAACGAGCGCAACCCUUAUGGUCAGUUACUACGCAAGAGGACUCUGGCCAGACUGCCGUUGACAAAACGGAGGAAGGUGGGGAGGACGUCAAAUCAUCAUGCCCUCUAUGACUUGGGGUACACACGUACUACAAUGGCGUUAAACAAAGAGAAGCAAGACCGCGAGGGGGAGCAAAACUCAGAAACAACGUCCCAGUUCGGACUGCAGGCUGCAACUCGCCUGCACGAAGUCGGAAUUGCUAGUAAUCGUGGAUCAGCAUGCCACGGUGAAUACGUUCCCGGGCCUUGCACA